ACAAGAUGCUACCUCUCAUCCUCCCGCCAAAUUACAAGUAGGAAAUAUGGCCGUCAGGUUCAAACCCUCCCUUGACAAGUUCCUCAAAUCCCAAAAAAACAUCUCCAAAACCCCACCAAGGCUCUGGCUCGAUGGCCAAGACGAGCCCAUCGAGACAGACAACCAAGGCCUCCCCAUCUUGAAGCUAAGCCAUCCCAUCUUGCACGCGUUGGAAUCAUGCACUGGCAUUAGGCAGUUCAAACAAGUCCACACCCAGCUUAUAGUCUCUGGCCUCUUCCAACACUCUCUUGCCGCUAGCCGAGUCGUGAAGAAGCUUUGCUCCGCUUCGGUUAUGGUUUCACAUGCUGUUUUUGUAUUCGAUUGCCUCGAAGAGCCCGAUGCUUUUAUGUGUAAUACUAUUAUGAGAAGCUAUGUGAAUUUCGAUGACCCAUGUAGUGCUUUAGGAUUUUACCAUGAAAGAAUGGUUGGGAAGUGGGUUGUGCCGAAUCAUUAUACUUUUCCGCUGUUGGUCAAGAUCUGUGCGGAAAUUGGGUCGGUGAGAGAAGGGGAAAAGGCUCAUGCCCGGGUGGUGAAAUUCGGGUUUGAGGCUGAUUUGUUUGUGCGGAACUCGUUGAUUCAUAUGUACUCGGUUUGUGGGAGGAUUGUGGAUGCUCGGAUGGUGUUUGAUGCGGGGCCUAAUUUGGAUUUGGUGAGUUGGAAUACAAUGAUUGAUGGCUAUGUCAAGAAUGGGGAGGUUGGUGUUGCACGUGAACUUUUUGAUGAUAUGUAUGAGAGAGAUGUUUUUAGUUGGAAUUCUAUGAUUGCCGGUUAUGUGGGGAUUGGGGAUAUGGAGGCAGCAAAAGGUUUGUUUGAGAGAAUGACUUGUAGAGAUGUUGUGUCGUGGAAUUGUAUGAUUGAUGGGUUUGCUAGGAUUGGAAAUGUUUCUGUGGCUCGUGAGUUCUUUGAUCGUAUGCCUCUGCGGAAUGUGGUUUCUUGGAAUAUCAUCUUGGCUCUUUGUGUACGGUGUAAUCAUUACAGUGAAUGUUUGACAUUGUUUGAUGGGAUAAUUGACCGAGGAGAGAUUAAGCCAAAUGAGGCUACUCUUGUGAGCGUCCUGACUGCGUGUGCAAGUUUGGGGAGGCUUGACAGAGGCAGCUGGAUUCAUUCUUAUUUAAAAAAUAAUAGGAUUAAACCUGAUUUGUUACUUUCAACGGCUCUUUUGACAAUGUAUGCAAAAUGUGGGGCUAUCGAUUUGGCUAGAGAUGUUUUUGAUGAGAUGCCGAACAGAAGUGUUGUAUCAUGGAAUUCUAUGAUUAUGGGAUAUGGUAUGCAUGGGAAUGCAGAAAAAGCCUUAGAAAUAUUCAUGCAGAUGGAGAAGAGAGGGCCAAAGCCAAAUGAAGCUACAUUCACCUGUGUCUUGUCUGCAUGUACCCAUGUAGGAAUGGUUUUGGAGGGUUGGUGGUGCUUUGAUCUAAUGUGUCGAGUUUACAUGAUUGAACCGAAGGUGGAGCACUAUGGUUGCAUGGUUGAUCUCCUUGCCCGGGCCGGUUUGAUGAAAGAUUCAGAGGAGAUUAUAAGUAAGAUGCCUAUGGAGUCGGGACCUGCCUUAUGGGGAGCUCUACUUUCUGCUUGUAGAACACACUCAAAUUCAGAGCUUGGAGAGAUUGUGGCUAAACGGCUAAUUGAGUUGGAACCUAGGGAUAUUGGGCCUUAUGUGUUGUUAUCAAAUAUAUAUGCUGCAGAAGGGAAAUGGGAUGAUGUAGAGUAUGUGAGAAGGAUGAUGAAGGAAAAGGGGUUGCAGAAAGCAUCUGGGUCUAGCCUGGUUCACCUAGGAGAGUUUGAAUCUGAAUCUUUUGUUGGGAAUGGUUCAUUCCAUCGGAGAAGCAUGGUCUACUCAAUGUUGAGUGAGAUGGGUGCUCAGAUGAAACUGUCUUGUAGAGAUUCUAAGAUUGUGUAGAAAUUGGGAGCUCAAUGAAGAUAAGACACAUUAAGAGGAAUGGAUGGAGGUGAAGCAUUCAAUUGGACUGUUGGACAUGCACAUAUGGUAUAGAACUGCUGGCGAGGGAACGGUUCAACACUUCAAAGAAUUAAGACUCUGAAAGGAAGAGAGUAUGCUUUGGCUGGUUUUCUUGUUCUCUCUUCUUUGGUGUUAGGUGUGCUUUUAAUGCACAAGUACCACCAUCUUGGAGGCAACCUCUCAAAAUCUUGUCUCCACAGAUUUCAAGCAAUUUUGAAGUGAUUCUUGCGGUUGUACUUCCGAGUCAUAUGUUUCUCCAGCUUUCAAGUCUUGGGGCACGUUAUUCGUAGGGACCUCCCUUGACUUAUCAUCCCCAUCACUGGACAACAUUCUUAUAGACAAAGGCUGAGACUUUAGGUAAACAAAAAAAAAAAUGGUGGGAACAUUGUGUUUGACGGAGGCACAAUAUUUCAUCAAAUCCCAGUGCGUAGCUGUUGAAAUUAGAGAGAGAAUCCACCACCACCACCAUUGC